UGAUGGUCCAACCCAAUCCAGCUCCCUACAUACUCUCAAGUGAGAUAAAGUCCCUGUUGUACAUGUAAAGAACAUGUUAGGAAAAACGGUUUGAGUCUUUCCAGCUUCUGGGAAGGGCAAACCUCUUCGCGGAACUGUUUUUGCCCAGGGACUUGGAUCCACUUGGUGUGUGAUGCAGAAAAACGGGGAUGUUCAAUGUGUACCACAAGGCAGUUUGAUGUUGGGGGAGUGCAGUCAGUAAUUCCAUGUGUAUAUAUAUAGGUUUGUGUGUGUGUGUUUAAUGCUUGCUAAUUAUGGUUUGUUUGUAUAUCUUAAUCGUAAUGUAGUGAUGUAGAGUAAGGGGUGGAAUGUCAUGGUUUUAUGAUUUUUGGUUAUUGGUAUUCCACAUCAUGACAUCAUAUAGUGCACUGGGAGUUAAAGAGUUAAUGCUUGAAUUCCAGGCAUCUGUCCAGAAGAGAAGAAGAACUACAUACCCCAAAACACUUUGUGUUCAGAGAGAGAUAUAACCCCUGGCAAGGUCACCUGAUAUGUCCCUUUUUUCUCGGCUCUCCUCCCUGCUGCUAGUCCCAACCAUACACAUCACCUCCGCUCUAGUGUAAAGCCAACAGUUUUUCAGACAUUCUCUCUCAUUAUAUUUGAUUUCUUAGCUUCAGUUCUAAUUAUAUUGCAUUAUAGAGUGUUAUCUUGCAUUCCAAUAUUAUGUUUAGUAAAUUAUUUAGUUUCUCCCCAGAUCGUUGCCACAGAAUAAUUUUAAUUAUUUGCAGCCCCUUGUUUUCCCUUUCCGGAAGCAUGGAUCUGUGGAUUCCUCUGCCCCGCUAGUCGCAGAACUGGGCCAAGCCAGCCCGUAAACUGUCAAUAAGUCUGUUGGCUCCCAUCCACCAUCAGCAUUGCCCCUUUCUCAAGGCUGCGUCCCAAGCCGUAAUACCCAAAGCACUGAGUGCGACACCAUUCACAACUCCAUUCAUUCAGCACACCCCCCUCCUUCUUUUGUGUGAAUCCCAGUCACCAACUGAGAGGACAGAGGAGAACACAACUUGCGCUCCUGAUCCCUUCAGCAGUCUUCCCAGAGGCCUGAAGUCCCUUUUGACACCCGAGAACCUCUUUUGCCUACCCCUUCAUUUCCAAUGUGGAAAACCAGUAAUGGAUAAUAAUCGGAGGGCUUAACCAGAUAUCGGGGACUUCACCAGACAGCCACGAUUUUUCAAAUAUGAUGGAGAGUGGCUGGGCAACCACAUCAGUCAUCUCUUUCAGAACCCUAGGAUGGAUAUCAUCUGGCUCCGUGGACUUAAACACGUUCAGUUUUGUGAGGAGGACUGGGACUUGUUGCACGGUUACAGUGGGACAGAAACCACUCCCCACACCUUCACCUAGAGGCUCACUGUCCUGGCAGACAUGGGAAGGUGGGACAGGCUGAGGGGCAGUCCGCUUGUUGCCCCGAACAGGGACACGUUUCCAUCCCUCGCUGGUUUUGAGGUCGCCCUUUCCCACCUGACUGUGAGACGGCAGAUGAUCUCCCACUGCUCGAGGACCCAACCCUUCCUGUAGGGAUGGCAGUGUAUGACUCCACCUGUCAAUUCCCUUCCCACAAUCUUGCAUGCUCCUCGGCCUUUCUACUUCCUCCUUUACCUCUAUCACCAAGCUGAGCUGAUAACCCAACCUGCUCACGCCGCACACAGGUGGUAUCCCGGCUGCCAUCCGGUAGCAGUGACAGGGCCAGGCAUUCUCUGCAGCCUGAGAGCUGAACUGCGGCCUUGCUGAUCCGCUCGGGGCUUGCCCUGAAAAUCAUUUGCUUCACAGUGGCUUAUGGUUUCUCUGCGUUUGAACAGCUAACAUCCUAACUCCCUCUCUCCAUCCCUGAGGCUUUUUCAAGGAAGAGGGUGUGGAUGCCCCAGCAACGCCCACUUCAUGCCAGCUGCCCUUGCAAGAUCUGCCAGGCUGCUGUUAUCUCAGGGUUCCCUCGAUGAAGAAACCUACCGAAACCUCCCUGUACCUCACGGAGAGUCGCUGUGGUUCUGGCCGGGACAGCUCCGAAGCAAACCUCAGUGAUCAAGGUCCAAAACCAUCUAUCUCAUCGUGCGUUGUGCAAGGAAACAAUAUAAUAACAUUAUAACACAACAACAUAAAUCACGCCUUCUACACAGCUUCCCAACUGCCUGAUUUAGAGCUUUCUCCUUCAUUUUGUGUAACACUUUGUAAUAGCACUUCCGGAUGCAUUUAGGUUAUCAUGACUCAAUCAAAGCUUUGAUUGUUAACACGCUGAACGUAAGAAAAGAGACAAGGCAAACAUAGCAUAAUGACAACAAAUACUAUUAAAACCAUUAAGAAAAGAACAAAUACAUGUCUAGCCCAUGGCCCAAGAUUCUGCAGCCUGGAAAAGAAUCUCUGAGGGUCCCAUUCUGUGUGUAGCAGUAACUGAUUAGAGAGAAUCUUCAACUUUUGUAUGUUCUGAUGUAUUGAUUUUUGAGUGAUUACUGUGGCUCAUAUAACACAUGCCUUUAAAAUCUUCACAACCGUGCCUUUGGGCUAAUAAUAGACAAUCAAUGCAAUUGUAAAGUUGCAUGUUGGAUAGAAUCAACAUCAAUGGUAAGCCUGCUGGAGCAUCACUAGUGGCAUUGCUUUCCUCAACCAGCUAACAUCCUAACUUAUUGAGUGUGGCUAAAGCUGAGAAGUGCUGUUUCAGGGUAUGUUUGAAUCUGAGUGACAGGAUGUCUCAGGAGCAGGGACAAGCAAACUAUGCACUCACAGAACUGCAAAGGAUUGCGAGUUUUAGUCAACAGAUGUACACUCUCACACACAUAGGCAUCCAUUUUAGAUAACCCCAAAAGUGGGAAGCAGAAACUCCCCAAGCUAGCGCAUUAUUACUUACUGACCCCCAAGAGACAGCAAACCACUGAAAAGGAGAGAGAAGGAACAUAGAAUCAUAGAAUCAUAGAAUUGCUCAAGUUGGAAAAGACCUAAAAGAUCAUCAAGCCCAACUGCAACCUAACUAACCUAACACAUCCAGGCUGGAUGUGGCUCUGGGCAGCCUGGUCUAGUGGUUGGUGACCCUGCACACAGCGGGAGGGUUGAAACUUGAUGAUCAUUAUGGUCCCAGGCCAUACUACGAUUCUAUGAUUCUAUGAUUCUAACCAUAGUACCCUAACUCUAAUAACCCUGUGUUAAAUCAUGUCCCUGAGCACCACAUGCUGGCGGUGGAUGUGAUAGGUAGUGCCAGCAGGGCGUCCCCUGCUUCAGAGUGCACUUUUCCACUGUCAUCCAUCACAGACUCGCUCCUGCUUUUAAUCUUCUCAGGGUCUGCAGGGUUUUUUUUUUUCCAUUUGUACACCAGCUACGCGUGGCCAAUGCAUGAUACAGAACCCAAAUGGAACACCUGCUUGCAAAACAAAAUAAACUACCAAGGUCAGCUCUCUCUACAAAACAAAAUAUUUGCAGCUAUAGCUACAAAUAUCUGUUCCCUUAAAAGUGUCAGAAUACUUUGUUCCAUCCCAAGAUCAUUGUUCAGUGAGGAGCCUUUGGGUCCCUGAUAUAGGUGCCAAUUGAAGGGAUCAGUGAACUAAAAAAAUCUGUAGGGCAGUAUUCCAGAAUUCUAUCAUAGGUCGAAUCAAAGUAAGACAGCGUGUGCCUUUGUCUCAAGUGAUGCGUGGUCAUCUUUUUCAAAUCCUGAUGAGUGGGAUGAAAGACAGCUAAUCGUUCUAUAAUACAGAGUCAUACAGGGUCAUCCCUUUGCCUGAGAUUCCUUCUCAGGUUUUGUCUUCACAAUUUAAGAAAAGGAUCAUUGGUAGGCUAAUAGCAUCAUAACCGAGUGUUACUGACAACGGGGUGCUGAAAUUACACUAAAAGAGCUAUUCUCAUAGAUUCCAGCACCGGUCACACCAAAUUAUGUUCAGUUCAUAUUUGAUCUACUACUAAAACAGAGGAAGAAGCACACAGUAACUUCGAUAAUGCCUAAUAAUUCUAAUUCUUGAGGCUGCAUUGGUAACGCAGGAAAAUCACCCACUUUUGUCAUAGCGUUACCCAUGUUGUUAUUGUGAUAACAUCCCGUGGGUAAUCCAGCCAUUUCUCAUCACUCACUAUGGCAUCCAUAAGUGAGUGCCAUAUAUACAAUACAAUACAACAAAUUACAGAACAAUACCAAUAAGUAAGAACAGACAGACAAACCCAGUCAUUAUGAGGGCUGGAUUUUCUACCUUGGAAUGAGGCCGAACAUACUGUGCUGGAGCCCAUAUAGGGCCAGUCCCUGUGGAAACACAAGCAUAUCCACGACCCCAAGUUACCAGUGGUAAGGGAGCUUCUCAGUGCCCUGUGGCCGUAUUCCGAACGUUCACCACUGGCCGUUUCUUGAGCAUAGGGGAGGCCCCAAAAUGAUGAUCCACACGAGUUGCAUCUGUAUGGUCACGAUUCAAAAAAGUCAGCACAAGCAAAGCCUUACAUAAAUUUUCUUGUGGCAUGUCUCCUGUAUCCCCCCUUUUUUGUUUAUUAUAAUUUCACUACAUUUCAAAACAUUUCAAUACAUUACAAUUUCAGUACAUUUUAAUGUCUGAUGAGCAUGUUCAAUGAUAGCUUGUCCAGUGGGAGAAUGAGGAAUGCCUGUAACAUCUCUAACCCCCCAUUCCUGGAGAAAAGUCUGAGAGGCCUUAGAAGUAUACGCCGGUCGAUUAUCUGUUUUUAAAGUAUGUGGAAUCCCCAAAGCAGCAUAAACAGAUAUCCAGUGUUUACGGGCAUCGCGACAGCAUUCGGCUGUAUGCUGUAUGUGGCAAAUAUUUAAGAAGAGUAAGUAUCUAUUGUUACAUGCACAUAUUUUAGAUGGCCAAAGUCAUGAACAUGAGUGACAUCUGUUUGCCAGAGUUGAAGAGGUGCUGUGCAGUGGGAGAAAGAGAGGUUGGCUCGACCUCGUCAAAUGUCGACUUGCUGAUAAUAAGGUGCUGGGACAGAGAGAUGGACAGAAUAAACAGGGAUGUUUUGUAGCUAGGCAUAAGAUAAGCUCUCUGCUGUUAUGAAGACUUGCUUGCUUUCUAGCCAAUGUAUUGUUAGUGGAAACAUACUGAAUACUCAUGUUAGAAUAUAAAAAACUUGCUUAGGAAAAUAAAGGAGAGAAUCUUCCUU